UACGUAGGGACCAAGCGUUGUUCGGAUUUACUGGGCGUAAAGGGCGCGUAGGCGGCAUGACAAGUCACUUGUGAAAUCUCCGGGCUUAACUCGGAACGGUCAAGUGAUACUGUUGUGCUAGAGUGCGGAAGGGGCAACUGGAAUUCUCGGUGUAGCGGUGAAAUGCGUAGAUAUCGAGAGGAACACCUGCGGCGAAGGCGGGUUGCUGGGCCGACACUGACGCUGAUGCGCGAAAAGCCAGGGGGAGCGAACGGG
rnacentral:rRNA from 1 species